rnacentral:lncRNA from 1 species
CCACCCACAGGGUGCUCCCCACGCCCUCAUGUUUAGCCAGAGGAUUACCCAUUAUUUUGUUAAACAUUCCUUUUUGGUUACAAAAGACUUUUUUUUUUACUGUAUGGAAAUAUUAAUAUUCAAAUACUGCGCCUUUUGAAUAAGUUUUAGGGCACUGAAUAAAAGGCUCUUCAACUUGGCCACUUAAAGGGGAUUGAGCCAGAUGGUAGUUUAAGAAUUCCACAGUUCUGUUCUUUUUGCCUCAUCGUAGCCCAUCAUACUCUGUUUGCUUUCAGAUUAGUCCCCUUUUACUGUUCUACUUAUUUAUUCGAUGACUGAAACUAUCACGAUUCACUGCCCAUCAUAUUUCUAACUAUUCUUUAUGUAAUUUGGAAGCAAUUUAGAAUAAAGCCCUGUCAAGGUUUUACAAAUAAGAACUAUUAAAGAAUAAAGCUUUGGAUACUUGC